CAUACAAUAGGACAAGUAACUAACCAGAAUAAGGAUUCAAUCACCGAGGUGUUGCUAUGGGAUACAGAUGAGGAGUUAACGGGGCCAACCAAAGGCAGCUCUGCAGCAUAAAGCAGGGCAUCCAGAUACUCUGGAAAAGAAUGGGCAGGGACACACACAUACAGCAUGCUCAACGAACGACACAGAGCAGUUCAUGAGGAGCAGAAAGGGCCGUGACAACUCGGUGCGUCAGUCAGGUGGUGAGACGGACAUGGCCAUAGGCUUGGACACCAAGAGAGCUGUCCAGCGACAGGCACCAUGGGAGGCGUCCGGGUCACAUGUGUUCACUGCUCAGCACUGCACAUAGGAAGACUUGAAGCAGCAAAUCAGAAGCAAGAAACAGGACGUGGCUUCUGUAAUGACUGAGAAGCACAGUAAUAGGAAACUGAGAGCACAAUAAGACAAGAGAUGUAGUCAAGGUUUAAGUCACCAGAUACAGUCCACUGCAGUCUGGCUAGAGUACUAUUUCUAAUACAGAGAAAUACUUCAAAUCUUAUUUCCUCUGAGGUGUGGAAAAACUGAGGCCGAAAGAGGAGAAUAAAUAUGGAAAGUCAAAACAGAUGUGCAGCCCAGAGCCACGGCCCCGUCUUCUGGCGCUGGAAGGGGGUCACUGCGCCGCUAAGUGGAAAAUGACAGAGCACGGCUUUGGGGCGGCCAGCCUAGGACGCAGUUGGAGGUCUCGCCCGCGAGGCACUGAGAUGGAUGUGGUGGGACCCGGAACACUGUGGGAAGGUGCG